AUUCCAGCUCCAAUAGCGUAUAUUAAAGUUGUUGCAGUUAAAAAGCUCGUAGUUGGAUUUCUGGUUCAGAGGGCUUGGCCCAUGGCCAAUUCUAGGUUCAUGAGUGCCGAUGCUUUCGUACCAUCCUUCCGGUGAUGAUUCAGGUCCCCUUCAUUGGGUCAGCCUGGUUGUUCCGGAUCUUUUACUUUGAAAAAAUUAGAGUGUUUAAAGCAAGCUGUGUGUUGAAUACAUUAGCAUGGAAUAAUAAUCUAGGACUUUGGUUCUAUUUUGUUGGUUUCUAGCGCCAAAGUAAUGAUUGAUAGGGAUAGUUGGGGGUGCUAGUAUUUACCGGCCAGAGGUGAAAUUCUUGGAUUCGGUAAAGACUAACUUAUGCGAAAGCAUUCACCAAGGAUGUCUUCAUUA
rnacentral:rRNA from 1 species